GAAGUUGUUAGCUCAGUGGUAGAGUGCAUGCUUUGCAUGUAUGAUGUCCUGGAUUUAAUCCCCAGCAUCUCCA